rnacentral:rRNA from 1 species
AUGAACGCUAGCUACAGGCUUAACACAUGCAAGUCGAGGGGCAGCAUGGUCUUAGCUUGCUAAGACUGAUGGCGACCGGCGCACGGGUGAGUAACACGUAUCCAACCUGCCGUCUACUCUUGGACAGCCUUCUGAAAGGAAGAUUAAUACAAGAUGGCAUCAUGAGUCCGCAUGUUCACAUGAUUAAAGGUAUUCCGGUAGACGAUGGGGAUGCGUUCCAUUAGAUAGUAGGCGGGGUAACGGCCCACCUAGUCUUCGAUGGAUAGGGGUUCUGAGAGGAAGGUCCCCCACAUUGGAACUGAGACACGGUCCAAACUCCUACGGGAGGCAGCAGUGAGGAAUAUUGGUCAAUGGGCGAGAGCCUGAACCAGCCAAGUAGCGUGAAGGAUGACUGCCCUAUGGGUUGUAAACUUCUUUUAUAAAGGAAUAAAGUCGGGUAUGCAUACCCGUUUGCAUGUACUUUAUGAAUAAGGAUCGGCUAACUCCGUGCCAGCAGCCGCGGUAAUACGGAGGAUCCGAGCGUUAUCCGGAUUUAUUGGGUUUAAAGGGAGCGUAGAUGGAUGUUUAAGUCAGUUGUGAAAGUUUGCGGCUCAACCGUAAAAUUGCAGUUGAUACUGGAUAUCUUGAGUGCAGUUGAGGCAGGCGGAAUUCGUGGUGUAGCGGUGAAAUGCUUAGAUAUCACGAAGAACUCCGAUUGCGAAGGCAGCCUGCUAAGCUGCAACUGACAUUGAGGCUCGAAAGUGUGGGUAUCAAACAGGAUUAGAUACCCUGGUAGUCCACACCGUAAACGAUGAUUACUAGGUGUUGGAGGAUUGACCCCUUCAGUGCCGCAGUUAACACAAUAAGUAAUCCACCUGGGGAGUACGACCGCAAGGUUGAAACUCAAAGGAAUUGACGGGGGCCCGCACAAGCGGUGGAGCAUGUGGUUUAAUUCGAUGCAACGCGAAGAACCUUACCUGGUCUUGACAUCCACGGAAGUUUUCAGAGAUGAGAAUGUGCCUUCGGGAACCGUGAGACAGGUGCUGCAUGGCUGUCGUCAGCUCGUGUUGUGAAAUGUUGGGUUAAGUCCCGCAACGAGCGCAACCCCUAUCUUCAGUAGCCAGCGGUAAGGCCGGGCACUCUGGAGAGACUGCCAGGGAUAACCUGGAGGAAGGUGGGGAUGACGUCAAAUCAGCACGGCCCUUACGUCCGGGGCUACACACGUGUUACAAUGGGGGGUACAGAGGGCCGCUACCACGCGAGUGGAUGCCAAUCCCAAAAACCUCUCUCAGUUCGGACUGGAGUCUGCAACCCGACUCCACGAAGCUGGAUUCGCUAGUAAUCGCGCAUCAGCCACGGCGCGGUGAAUACGUUCCCGGGCCUUGUACACACCGCCCGUCAAGCCAUGGGAGCCGGGGGUACCUGAAGUGCGUAACCGCGAGGAGCGCCCUAGGGUAAAACUGGUGACUGGGGCU